rnacentral:ncRNA from 1 species
UGCAAUUAUUUCCCUUGAACGAGGAAUUCCCAGUAAGCGCGAGUCAUUAGCUCGCGUUGAUUACGUCCCUGCCCUUUGUACACACCGCCCGUCGCUACUACCGAUUGAAUGGUUUAGUGAGGUCCUCCGAUUGGACCCGGUCCGGGCGGUUACGUCCGAGCCGGCGUCCGAGAAGACGAUCUAACUUGAUCAUUUAGAGGAAGUAAAAGUCGUAACAAGGUUUCCGUAGGUGAACCUGCGGAAGGAUCAUUA